UACGUAGGGUGCAAGCGUUAAUCGGAAUUACUGGGCGUAAAGCGUGCGCAGGCGGUUAUGUAAGACAGUUGUGAAAUCCCCGGGCUCAACCUGGGAACUGCAUCUGUGACUGCAUAGCUAGAGUACGGUAGAGGGGGAUGGAAUUCCGCGUGUAGCAGUGAAAUGCGUAGAUAUGCGGAGGAACACCGAUGGCGAAGGCAAUCCCCUGGACCUGUACUGACGCUCAGG
rnacentral:rRNA from 1 species